rnacentral:rRNA from 1 species
GACGAACGCUGGCGGCGUGCUUAACACAUGCAAGUCGAACGGAAAGGCCUGCUUUCCCUUGUGGAUUGCGGGUACUCGAGUGGCGAACGGGUGAGUAACACGUGAGUGAUCUGCCCCCAACUUGGGUAUAAGCCUGGGAAACUGGGUCUAAUUCCCGAUAGGACUGCAGGGUGGUGCCUGUGGUGGAAAACGAUUUUCUAGUGGUUGGGGAUGAGCUCGCGGCCUAUCAGCUUGUUGGUGGGGUGAUGGCCUACCAAGGCGGCGACGGGUAGCCGGCCUGAGAGGGUGGACGGCCACAUUGGGACUGAGAUACGGCCCAGACUCCUACGGGAGGCAGCAGUGGGGAAUAUGGCACAAUGGGCGGAAGCCUGAUGCAGCGACGCCGCGUGGGGGAUGACGGCCUUCGGGUUGUAAACUCCUUUCGACCGCGAGGAAGCCACCUGGUUGGAAGGGUGGUGACGGUAGUGGUAGAAGAAGCACCGGCUAACUACGUG